rnacentral:rRNA from 1 species
UACGGGGGGAGCAAGCGUUGUUCGGAUUUACUGGGCGUAAAGGGCGCGUAGGCGGCGGGGCAAGUCGGGUGUGAAAUCUCAGAGCUCAACUCUGAAACUGCACUCGAUACUGCUCUGCUUGAGGACUGGAGAGGAGACUGGAAUUCACGGUGUAGCAGUGAAAUGCGUGGAUAUCGUGAGGAAGACCAGUGGCGAAGGCGGGUCUCUGGACAGUUCCUGACGCUGAGGCGCGAAGGCCAGGGGAGCAAACGGG